rnacentral:rRNA from 1 species
AACGCUGGCGGCAUGCCUAACACAUGCAAGUCGAGCGAGAACGUCGACUUCGGCCGAUUAGUAAAGCGGCGAACGGGUGAGUAACACGUGGAUAACCUACCUUGGAGUGGGGGAUAACCUGGGGAAACUCGGGCUAAUACCGCAUACGUUCUCAGCUUCAUGAAGCUGAGAGGAAAGCUGGCCAAUUCUUGAAAGCCAGUGCUCUUCGAGGGGUCCGCGCCCGAUUAGCUAGUUGGUGAGGUUACGGCUCACCAAGGCUGCGAUCGGUAGCCGGCCUGAGAGGGCGAUCGGCCACACUGGGACUGAGACACGGCCCAGACUCCUACGGGGAGGCAGCAGUGGGGAAUAUUGGACAAUGGGCGCAAGCCUGAUCCAGCAACGCCGCGUGGAGGACGAAGGCCUUCGGGUCGUAAACUCCUGUCAGUUGGGACGAAGAGUCGUCGGUCAAUAUCCGGCGAUCAUGACGGUACCAGCAGAGGAAGCCCCGGCUAACUCCGUG